AGUUUGGCUGUGUGUAUGCUCCACUUGGACUGCAGCCAAAUGGCCAUGAAAGAAAGUACAUCCUGGGAUUUAUGCCCCAGGGCAACGUGACUCACUGGAAUAAGACACGAAGGACAUCCUGCUUCUGGGGCAGGGGGAACUGGAACAGAGCCCAGGCCUUUCCAGCCAGUUUCUCCUUAUCUCACGUUGUUGUGUUCCCAGCACAUUCUAUGGUUUUUCUUGAGAACUGCAAGUAAGAAAGAGGAGAGAACUGGGUUGGUCCAAGGCCAUCUGCAGAACUGUCCUGCAAGUAUUUGUUGCCAAGGUCCUGCAGUUCCUUUGCCUAUGGUUCUUUCCUUCCCUUAAGACGACCAGCACUUGCCUGGCCAGAUUACAUUGUACCUUGACCCUAGUUACUGGUCUUGGGAUUGGGGAAGAAGGGAUUGAUCUUGAGAAGGGUGCAUGCUUUCUUUAAAGGAGAAGCCUUCGGAUCUUUUUUACAUCUUCAAGCAUGGAAGCAGCACUGACUUUUAACAGGGAAGAAUGGGCCACUUCUGCAGACCCAGGAGGUUCAGCGCAAUCUGAGAAUGCAAGAUUUUUUAGUGCAUCAACACGGAUAUCCCUAUUUCAAGUAUCAGGCUCCUAUUUGUUUGCAAUUAGGAUCCUGACUUUGGCAUAGCAAACCUACUGGAGUUGAGCAUCCAACCUUCUCUGAAAUUCUACUAUUCUUAUGUCUAAGUCCUAGAAAACAAUGUCCAUGCCGCCAUCUUGAAAGCGGAGACCAGGCCCACACCAGACACACCCAACCUGCCAGUACUUUGAUCUUGGACUUUCCAACUUCCAGAAUGCAGGCAAAUUCCUCGGUUCAAGGAGGCCCACCAGGUGGCUGUCUGGGGGUCAUCAAAGGUGACCUGAAAAGCCCUUUUCUGCACUGGAGACAUGACAAUGGAAUAGGGACAACAUCUCUUAACAUCAGGAAGGUUACCAGAGGUGACUUGCUGGGAGAAAAGGUGAGAGCAGGGAAGAGACCAUGUUUACUAUUUGGGGGCAUAGUACAUUUGGAACAGCGACCCUGGGGGUCAGUUAUAAGGCAUACGGAUGAGCAGAAGGAUCCCUAGAGAGCUUUACUCCCAGACAGGAGGAGAUGGAGACGUGUGUGUACGUGAACUUGUUCACUGAGAGCAGCUGUGAUGAUGUACCUAAAAUCGGAAAUGUGGGUAGGAGUGACAGUGUGCCAGAGCCUAAGACAGGGGUGGUUGGUGGGUCCUUUGGGGAGCGACAAGGGGGUAGUGGCUGCAGCCCCUCCCCAGAGUGUGUGUGUGUGUGUGUGUUAUGGUGAAUGAAGGGGAAGGGAUCGUGGUAAUGCAUGAUAUUGCAAGGGUGAUGGGAGCAUUGGCUUGCUUCUUCAUCCUUACAGCUGGGGUUGACGCAUAUUUUCCCACCUGCCUCUUUGUUAAAAUCUUUGCCUUUUUAAGCAGCUGAGAAGGAGGGCG